rnacentral:lncRNA from 1 species
AAAAUGGCAGAACAAAAGGUUAUAAGGGGGGCUGUAGAGAAGGAGGGACAAGAGCCAACACCAAAAAUAAGAAAGGAGGACAUGCAUGGAAAGAAACACAUGUGAAGAAAAAUAUACUGGUGUGUUAACAUCUCCAUGUGUGACAUCUUCUU